AGCUUGCUUCUUGAGCGAGUGGCGAACGGGUGAGUAACGCGUGAGGAACCUGCCUCAAAGAGGGGGACAACAGUUGGAAACGACUGCUAAUACCGCAUAACACAUAGCUAUCGCAUGGUAAUUAUGUCAAAGAUUUAUCGCCGAAGGAUGGGCUCGCGUCUGAUUAGAUAGUUGGUGAGGUAACGGCUCACCAAGUCGACGAUCAGUAGCCGGACUGAGAGGUUGAACGGCCACAUUGGGACUGAGAUACGGCCCAGACUCC
rnacentral:rRNA from 1 species